rnacentral:rRNA from 1 species
UACAGAGGGUGCGAGCGUUGUCCGGAAUCACUGGGCGUAAAGGGCGCGUAGGUGGUGGCUUAAGCGUGCGGUGAAAGCUCGGAGCUCAACUCCGAGUCGGCCGUGCGAACUGGGCUCACUGGAGCAUAGUAGAGGCAGGUGGAAUUCCGGGUGUAGCGGUGGAAUGCGUAGAGAUCCGGAAGAACACUGGUGGCGAAGGCGGCCUGCUGGGCUAUGGCUGACACUGAGGCGCGACAGCGUGGGGAGCAAACAGG